GAUGAACGCUGGCGGCGUGCCUAAUACAUGCAAGUCGAGCGAACGGACGAGAAGCUUGCUUCUCUGAUGUUAGCGGCGGACGGGUGAGUAACACGUGGAUAACCUACCUAUAAUACUGGGAUAACUUCGGGAAACCGGAGCUAAUACCGGAUAAUAUUUUGAACCGCAUGGUUCAAAAGUGAAAGACGGUCUUUCUGUCACUUAUAGAUGGAUCCGCGCUGCAUUAGCUAGUUGGUAAGGUAACGGCUUGCCAAGGCAACGAUGCAUAGACGACCUGAGAGGGUGAUAGCCCACACUGGAACUGAGACACGGUCCAGACUCCUGCGGGAGGCAGCAGUAGGGAAUCUUACGCAGUGGGCGAAAGCAUGACGGAACGACGCGGCGUGAGAGAUGGCGGUCUUCCGAUCGUAAAACUCUGUUAUUAGGGAAGAACAUAUGUGUAAGUAACUGUGCACAGCUUGACGGUACCUAAUAAGAAAGCCACGGCUAACUACGUG
rnacentral:rRNA from 1 species